rnacentral:rRNA from 1 species
UACGUAGGGUGCGAGCGUUGUCCGGAAUUAUUGGGCGUAAAGGGCUCGUAGGCGGUUUGUCGCGUCGGGAGUGAAAAUCCAGGGCUUAACUCUGGACUGGCUUCCGAUACGGGCAGACUAGAGGUAUGCAGGGGAGAACGGAAUUCCUGGUGUAGCGGUGAAAUGCGCAGAUAUCAGGAGGAACACCGGUGGCGAAGGCGGAUCUUCUGGGCCUACUUGACUCUGAGGAAGCGAAAGCUGGGGAGCGAACGGG